rnacentral:rRNA from 1 species
GGCGGACGGGUGAGUAACGCGUGGGAAUCUACCCAGUAGUGGGGGACAACUACCGGAAACGGUAGCUAAUACCGCAUACGCCCUAUGGGGGAAAGGCUUCGGCCGCUAUUGGAUGAGCCCGCGUCAGAUUAGCUAGUUGGUAGGGUAAAGGCCUACCAAGGCAACGAUCUGUAGCUGGUCUGAGAGGACGAACAGCCACACUGGGACUGAGACACGGCCCAGACUCCUACGGGAGGCAGCAGUGGGGAAUAUUGGACAAUGGGCGAAAGCCUGAUCCAGCAAUGCCGCGUGUGUGAAGAAGGCCUGCGGGUUGUAAAGCACUUUCAGUUGGGAAGAUGAUGACGUUACCAACAGAAGAAGCACCGGCUAAAUCCGUGCCAGCAGCCGCGGUAAUACGGAUGGUGCGAGCGUUAAUCGGAAUUACUGGGCGUAAAGCGCGCGUAGGCGGCUAAGUCAGUCAGAAGUGAAAGCCCCGGGCUCAACCUGGGAAUUGCUUUUGAUACUGCUUAGCUAGAGUUUGGUAGAGGAUAGUGGAAUUCCAGGUGUAGCGGUGAAAUGCGUAGAUAUCUGGAGGAACAUCAGUGGCGAAGGCGACUGUCUGGACCAAAACUGACGCUGAGGUGCGAAAGCGUGGGUAGCAAACAGGAUUAGAUACCCUGGUAGUCCACGCCGU